UAGAACUUGGUGUUAGAGGUUAAAACGUGGUGUACGGAGAUUAGAACUUGGUGUUAGAGGGUAAAACUUGGUGUUAGAGGUUAAAACUUGGUGUUAGAGGGUAAAUCUUGGUGUAUGGAGAUUAGAACUUGGUGUUAGAGGGUAAAACUUGGUGUAUGGAGAUUAGAACUUGGUGUUAGAGGGUAAAACUUGGUGUAUGGAGAUUAGAACUUGGUGUUAGAGGUUAAAACUUGGUGUUAGAGGGUAAAUCUUGGUGUA